AACGAACGCUGGCGGCAGGCCUAACACAUGCAAGUCGAGCGGACCUUUCGGGGUCAGCGGCGGACGGGUGAGUAACGCGUGGGAAUAUGCCCUUCUCUACGGAAUAGUCCUGGGAAACUGGGGGUAAUACCGUAUACGCCCUUUGGGGAAAGAUUUAUCGGGGAAGGAUUAGCCCGCGUUGGAUUAGGUAGUUGGUGGGGUAAUGGCCUACCAAGCCGACGAUCCAUAGCUGGUUUGAGAGGAUGAUCAGCCACACUGGGACUGAGACACGGCCCAGACUCCUACGGGAGGCAGCAGUGGGGAAUCUUAGACAAUGGGGGCAACCCUGAUCUAGCCAUGCCGCGUGAGUGAUGAAGGCCUUAGGGUUGUAAAGCUCUUUCAGCUGGGAAGAUAAUGACGGUACCAGCAGAAGAAGCCCCGGCUAACUCCGUG
rnacentral:rRNA from 1 species